CCCCAGCGCCACAAGUGGGAGUCUUUCUUAUUUGGCCUAAAGCGUCCGUAGCUGGUUGUGUAAAUCUCUUGUGAAAUUGUUUUGCUUAACAGAACAGCGGGCAGGAGACACUGCAUGACUUGGGACCGGGAGGGGUAAGGGGUAUGCCAAGGGGAGCGGUAAAAUGCUAUAAUCCUUAGUAGACCACCUGUGGCGAAGGCGCCUUACCAGAACGGGUCCGACAGUGAGGGACGAAAGCCAGGGGA
rnacentral:rRNA from 1 species